AGGCCAUAGGAAAGAGGAAAACUCUCGUCUUUUUCUCAAAUUUUCCCAAAAACGCAUCGUCGUAUCAACUACUGUUCCCUUUUCACUUUUUAGUUUUACGAAAGGGAAAGAAAACGAAAAGACUCGAGCAGGAUAUUUGUUGACUUUAUCCGAAGACAAGAGAAGCGAAGCGACGCUGUCGACGACGGAUUCAGUCGGGUCCAUCCAUCCGAUCGGAGCUCCGACUUCUCCAUCGCCGGCGGCCGCUGCUGCUGCUGCUGCUGCUCCGUCGAAGGCAGCGAGAAAGAUGCCUGAGAACCCUUCUCCAGCAGCUCCGGCAGCCGAUCCCUCCGCCGCCCCCUUCAAGCGCUACGCUCCUCCGAAUCAGAGGAAUCGCUCCCUCAACCGGCGCAAAUCCGGAGAGCAACUUGAUCGACCAAACAAUUUUUGUGUAAGUGAUGGAGAGAAGAAUCACACGGCUGCUUUAAGGAACACCAUCAAUGAUCAGAGGGAUGCAGUGGGUGGCAACCUUCCCAAGGAAAACCGUCGUUCGCCAUUGAUUCCCUUAGAAGGGUGCUCUACCAGCGAAGCUUCUCGGGUUCUAAAUAAACGCUGGGAAGAUACAAUUCACAAAUGCAAUGAUUUAUCUAUAGAUUCAUCUGUCAAACAGCGUUGCAGCUCUGUGAGGAUGUCCUGCUUGUAAGGUUAUCGUCCUCGACUAACCUGGUUUUCCGUUUUGUGUUCUGUGGUUUCAGAAAGACCUGUUAUGUACUCUGGAAGCACCAAACUUCCUCAUCAGUUAAUAGCCCCAUCAGGUGUUGGAUCUCCUGGUUCCCAGAUGGACUUCUUGGGUGAACUUCGCCAGGCAAUGCGCAAUGCAAAUGCAGGUCCCUAGGCGUAGCGAUUUUGCAUCCGUACUAAAGAUGAAGUUAUUGGUUUUGGAUGUGGACGUAAUCGAUUACAGCCUUCACUUCCAAGAGACUGGCGAAUUGUGGCAAACACUGUGUACACCAGUUGGCUAACCGCCAUUUGUAAAACAAAACUAGGAUGCGUUGCUUGAACACACGUGCAUAUGAAUAUGGUUUCCACUACCACUAUUGUCUUCCCUGAUAGCAUUAGUGCUAACCGUUUUGAGUAGCUCAUUGUGGCCGCCUCAUGCUCGUACAACUAACUGCCUUUGUGCAAGUGGUAUGCAUGCGCGCGCAGAGAGUAGAAGUAGGUCCUUGUGUCUGUUGUUGUGUGUGCGCAAUCAUUUUGAAUUGAGUUUCUUUUACAUGGUGAUUGGAAACUGUUUUAAGAUAUCUUUUGUCCAAUAUAAGAGCUGCUUUUCACUUGUC